AGCGCCCCCUGUGGAGAGUCCGUGCCAUCUCACCUCCACUGUGCCUUGUAGAUGUGUUUGCCAGCUCUCCCACAGGGUGAAGCAGAUCAUGGAGGAGGCUGUUACCCGAAAGUUCGUCCAUGAGGACAGCAGCCACAUCAUCUCCUUCUGCGCGGCCGUGGAGGCCUGCGUGCUGCAUGGACUGCGGCGGAGGGCGGCCGGCUUCCUGCGAAGCAACAAGAUCGCGGCGCUCUUCAUGAAGGUGGGCAAGGGCUUCCCUCCGGCCGAGGAGCUGAGCCGCAAGGUCCAGGAGCUGGAGCAACUCAUUGAGAGCGCGCGAAACCAGAUCCAGGGCCUGCAAGAGAACGUGCGGAAGCUGCCGAAGCUACCCAACCUGUCCCC
rnacentral:lncRNA from 1 species